CUUCAAAAAUCUCCCCCCAUCAGACUGACUAUAUAAAGGUACUCAGUGACAGCAGCUAAUGUAGUCAUUUAAUGUUUUAUUUGAGCAUCAGGAUCCAGAAUACAACAUUUUGCCAGACGAGUUUAUGAAAGAAGCUUCAAUCUCAUGUACAUUGCUUCUUCAUUUGUGUGUUUGCAGUGCUGAUAAACAAAGUGUGUCUGCAGGUCACAGUAGAGGGUGUUAUUGGUGGAUCUGUUGUCCUGCCGUGUUCUUCAGCUGAACGUGAUCAAGACACUGAUGAGCAUUGGAGACACAAUAACAGCAAGACUGUGUAUGAUAUAACUGAAGGUAAAGAUUCAAUAGAUCAACAGGACCCACGGUACAAGAACAGAGCUGCAACUUUCCCAGAUGAGCAUCAGAGAGGAAACUUCUCCAUCAAACUCAACAAUCUUCAACACACUGAUGCAGGAGAGUUCAGCUGCUUCAUCACACCCUCAGAUAAACAGGGGACCAUAAAACUGAUCAUCAAAGAAUCAACAGCAGAAAAAGGAAAAAACACUGAACAAGAAAACCAAGGACCAGAAGCAAAGUCAGACUGGAGAAACAUACUGAUUUGUGUUUGCAUACUUAUAUUUGUAUUAGUUGUUCUGUUUAUAAUAGCCUAUGCCAUGUUUUGCAAGAGAAAAGGAGUUUAAGCUCCCUUGAACUCCCAAGUUUAUAAUGUUUUAGGAGUUGUUAGAUCAGGUCCCCACGCCAGACAAUUAGGAUCCAGCCCCGGACAACAGAUCCCGUCAGAAAGUAUCAGUCUUUUGGUAACAGAACAAGCUGUAGUUACCCCAACCCCACUAACAGCAGGUUUCUGUCAGUUAUAAGGUUUGCCGAUGGAAGCCAGAAAAGAGCAGACGCAGGAGACGAAGUGAUGAUGGUAAUAAGGUAUAACAGAAUUUAUUGAACAGUUUUAGUUGCGUAUGUCUCAAUGUUCAGACUUCGUCUGGGGAGUACAGCUCAAAGAACAAUGAUAUAUCAAACGGAUCCAACAUCCCAUAAACCCUGAAUUUCCAUAAACACCCCCGUUAUCUAUUUCUUAGACCAAACAAUUCAUGAAACACCACAAUCAUGGAACUGAACAAUAAUGAAAAUGCAUAAGCAAGGAAAAUAUUAAGAAAUAUAAAAUAUAAAAACAUAUAAAUGAAUAAUAUAAAUGCAUAAUAUAUAUGAAUAAAUGAAUAAAUGAUAAAUACUUAAUCAAAUAAAUAUUUAAAUAUGAAUUAUGUGAAUGACUAAUGAUUAUAAACUGAUUAUAAAUAAUUAUGUAAAUAAAUGAUUAUAAAUAAAAUUAAAAACAAACAUCAAAUUCAAACACAACACAAUAAUUUGCAUAGACGGAUCUAAGGAUCCUUCAGAGUUAAUAGAUUUACUUUCUCUCACGUUGUGAGAUUGUAAGUUAAAAAUUACUUUUAGCUAAAUUAGUACAGUUUUCAUUUUUUCUUUCAGGUGUGCACUACUGUUAAGGCCUGUAUAAUAAGUACAUUGUUUUGUGCUGUUAUACUCUUGCUGUUUUGUAAUAAAUUGUUUGAAAAUAAUGUGCACUGCUGCUCAUAUUGGAAAACAGAAUGAGAUCUUUAAACACCAAAACAGGAUUUUUAUUUGCUAUAAAUCCUGUCAAUAUGUUGCUGCCUUAACAUUUCUGUACUUCAAGUGUUCUUUCUUCAUGUUGUGUUUUGCCAGAAUAAAGCUUCAUGGCGAUGUGAAAAGA